AACGAACGCUGGCGGCAUGCCUAACACAUGCAAGUCGAACGAGACCUUCGGGUCUAGUGGCGCACGGGUGCGUAACGCGUGGGAAUCUUCCCUUGGGUUCGGAAUAACAGUUAGAAAUGACUGCUAAUACCGGAUGAUGUCUUCGGACCAAAGAUUUAUCGCCCAGGGAUGAGCCCGCGUCGGAUUAGCUAGUUGGUGAGGUAAAAGCUCACCAAGGCGACGAUCCGUAGCUGGUCUGAGAGGAUGAUCAGCCACACUGGGACUGAGACACGGCCCAGACUCCUACGGGAGGCAGCAGUGGGGAAUAUUGGACAAUGGGCGAAAGCCUGAUCCAGCAAUGCCGCGUGAGUGAUGAAGGCCUUAGGGUUGUAAAGCUCUUUUACCCGGGAUGAUAAUGACAGUACCGGGAGAAUAAGCCCCGGCUAACUCCGUGCCAGCAGCCGCCGUAAGAC
rnacentral:rRNA from 1 species